AUGAGGAACUGCUUUGUGUCAUUGACGGUAACCGCGACGACGGUGCCCUCGACCUCUCAGUGCGAGGGCAAGAUCCUCCGGUCAGAAGGUUUCAGGCGCUUCGCCUUCAAGGAGCUCAAGAGGGCCACCAUGAACUUCUGGCCGGAUGGCUUGCUCAGUGACGGCCCCUUUGGGUCAGUGCACAAAGGCUGGGUGAACGAGGCUACCUUCGCUCCGGCUAGCUGGGGCACCGGCAUGCCCAUCAUCGUCAAGAAGCUCAACCAGGGAAGCGUCCAGGGCCACAUGGAAUGGCUGGUCGGUGCUUCUCAGUACCAAUCAAUUCCAAUUCAUUCAUCUCUUCAAUUCUGCAUAUAUGCUGAAGUGAAAUACCUUGGCCAAUUGUCGCACCCCAAUCUGGUGAAGCUCCUAGGCUACUGCAACGAAGACCGUUCUCAGUGUCUUCUUGUCUACGAGUUCAUGCCACAGGAGAGCUUGGAGAACCAUCUUUUCAGGAGGGGCUUACAUUUCUAG
rnacentral:rRNA from 1 species